AACUUUUAACAAUGGAUCACUUGGCUCUCGCAUCGAUGAAGAACGCAGCGAAAUGCGAUAAGUAAUGUGAAUUGCCGAAUUCAGUGAAUCAUCGAAUCUUUGAACGCACCUUGCGCUCCUUGGUAUUCCGAGGAGCAUGCCUGUUUGAGUGUCAUUAAUAUAUAUCAAACUUCUCUUGUUGAGUUGUUUGGAUGUGGCGGUUUGCUGGCCUCUUAAAGGGGUUCAGCUCUCCUGAAAUGCAUUAGCAGAACAACCUGUUCAUUGGUGUGAUAACUAUCUACGCUAUUGAAUGUGAAGGGAAGUUCAGCUUUCUAGCAGUCUUUGGACAAAUUCAUCAUUAAUGUGACCUCAAAUCAGGUAGGACUACCCGCUGAACUUAAGCAUAUCAAUAAGCGGAGGCU
rnacentral:misc_RNA from 1 species